UGUUCUUUGGGUUUGUUUUUAUGUGGUUGAGGGACUCAGCUCUGUUGCUUCUUUCUUUACCAUUCAUCUUUGGAGCUUUUGCUGCAAAGAUAUUUUACCCAAAAAUGAACCUGAAGAGGGAGGAAAACACUAGUAG
ensembl:misc_RNA